CGGGUUGUGUGGGUUGGCGGGCUCCGUGCUUCGGCAUCGAACCGUCCGCGCACGCACCACGUCAGUGACGCAGCAAGACUUUCUUGCGCUACAAGGAGAUUCCUGUAUUUGCUACCUACGCUUAAAGGAACGGUGCUGCUCGCUACCCUUUCCUUCCCCGAGCAUGCGCUCGCGGGGAGGACAUCGUAGCAGCGCCUGUGCCCCCUCGCAUCGAGCAUGCCGUAAGGCGCGCACGUUGCGACGGUUCUCGGGUUGCUGCUUGACGGUUCGGAUACGGAACAUUCGGUGGGCUUGGGUGUCUCGACACCUUUCGAUGUCCAAAUUCAAGCGUUUUGUCGCUAGACAUGUACGACUGCGACGCUCGCCGCGGGUCUCCCGUGCGGUGCGUGGCGUCGGCAAAGGAAUGCUACCUGGUU
rnacentral:misc_RNA from 1 species